GAUGAACGCUGACAGCAUGCUUAACACAUGCAAGUCAACUUGUGGCUGACGGGUGAGUAACGCGUAAAGAACUUGCCUCACAGAUAGGGACAACAUUUCGAAACGAAUGCUAAUGCCUGAUACUGUGGGAGAGCUUUGCGUCCCCUCAGCUAGUUGGAGAGGUAGCGGCUCACCAAGGCGAUGUUGUGUAGCCGGCCUGAGAGGGUGAUCGGCCACAAGGGGACUGGGACACGGCCCGUACUGCUACGGGAGGCAUGGGUGGGGAAUAUUGGAAGAUGGACCAAAGUCUGAUGCAGCAUUUCUGAGUGCAAGAUUAAGUUUUCGGAAUGUAAAGGGCUUUCAGUUAGGAAGCGGUACCAACAGAAGAAGUGACGGCUAACUACGUGCCAGCAGCCGCGGUAAUUC
rnacentral:rRNA from 1 species